rnacentral:rRNA from 1 species
AUACGAAGGGGGCAAGCGUUGUUCAGAAUAACUGGGCGUAAAGCGCACGUAGGCGGAAUGUUAAGUUAGAGGUGAAAUCCCAGGGCUCAACCCUGGAACUGCCUUUAAUACUGGCAAUCUAGAGACCGAGAGAGGUGAGUGGAAUUCCGAGUGUAGAGGUGAAAUUCGUAGAUAUUCGGAGGAACACCAGUGGCGAAGGCGGCUCACUGGCUCGGUACUGACGCUGAGGUGCGAAAGCGUGGGGAGCAAACAGGAUUAGAUACCCUAGUAGUCC